rnacentral:rRNA from 1 species
AGUGAACGCUGGCGGUAGGCCUAACACAUGCAAGUCGAACGGCAGCACAGUAAGAGCUUGCUCUUACGGGUGGCGAGUGGCGGACAGGUGAGGAAUACAUCGGAAUCUACUUUUUCGUGGGGGAUAACGUAGGGAAACUUACGCUAAUACCGCAUACGACCUACGGGUGAAAGCAGGGGAUCUUCGGACCUUGCGCGAUUGAAUGAGCCGAUGUCGGAUUAGCUAGUUGGCGGGGUAAAGGCCCACCAAGGCGACGAUCCGUAGCUGGUCUGAGAGGAUGAUCCGCCACACUGGAACUGAGACACGGGCCAGACUCCUACGGGAGGCAGCAGUGGGGAAUAUUGGACAAUGGGCGCAAGCCUGAUCCAGCCAUACCGCGUGGGUGAAGAAGGCCUUCGGGUUGUAAAGCCCUUUUGUUGGGAAAGAAAAGCAGCAGGUUAAUACCCCGCUGUUCUGACGGUACCCAAAGAAUAAGCACCGGCUAACUUCGUG